ACGGUGAGGCUUGAAAGCCUGGGUAGCGAACAGGAUUAGAUACCCUGGUAGUCCAUGCCGUAACCGAUGAGUGCUAAGUGUUGGAGGGUUUCCGCCCUUCAGUGCUGCAGCUAACGCAUUAAGCACUCCGCCUGGGGAGUACGACCGCAAGGGUGAAACUCAAAGGAAUUGACGGGGGCCCGCACAAGCGGUGGAGCAUGUGGUUUAAUUCGAAGCUACGCGAAGAACCUUACCAGGUCUUGACAUCUUCUGCCAAUCUUAGAGAUAAGACGUUCCCUUCGGGGACAGAAUGACAGGUGGUGCAUGGUUGUCGUCAGCUCGUGUCGUGAGAUGUUGGGUUAAGUCCCGCAACGAGCGCAACCCUUAUUAUCAGUUGCCAGCAUUCAGUUGGGCACUCUGGUGAGACUGCCGGUGACAAACCGGAGGAAGGUGGGGAUGACGUCAAAUCAUCAUGCCCCUUAUGACCUGGGCUACACACGUGCUACAAUGGACGGUACAACGAGUUGCGAAGUCGUGAGGCUAAGCUAAUCUCUUAAAGCCGUUCUCAGUUCGGAUUGUAGGCUGCAACUCGCCUACAUGAAGUUGGAAUCGCUAGUAAUCGCGGAUCAGCAUGCCGCGGUGAAUACGUUCCCGGGCCUUGUACACACCGCCCGUCACACCAUGAGAGUUUGUAACACCCAAAGCCGGUGAGAUAACCUUCGGGAGUCAGCCGUCUAA
rnacentral:rRNA from 1 species